GUUGACCUCGGAUCAGGUAGGAAUACCCGCUGAACUUAAGCAUAUCAUAAGGGGGGAAGAAAAAA
rnacentral:rRNA from 1 species